UACGGGGGGGGGCAAGCGUUGUUCGGAAUUACUGGGCGUAAAGGGCGUGUAGGCGGUUUGUUAAGUCAUGUGUGAAAUCCCUCGGCUCAACCGGGGAACGACGCAUGAAACUGGCAAGCUAGAGUACCAAAGAGGGGGGUGGAAUUCCCGGUGUAGCGGUGAAAUUCGUAGAUAUCGGGAGGAACACCAGCGGCGAAGGCGGCGACCUGGGUGGAUACUGACGCUGAGGUGCGAAAGCGUGGGGAGCAAACAGG
rnacentral:rRNA from 1 species